rnacentral:rRNA from 1 species
UGCGUUUUGAACUGNUAAGCUAGAGUAUGUCAGAGGGGGGUAGAAUUCCACGUGUAGCAGUGAAAUGCGUAGAGAUGUGGAGGAAUACCGAUGGCGAAGGCAGCCCCCUGGGAUAAUACUGACGUUCAUGCUCGAAAGCGUGGGUAGCAAACAGGAUUAGAUACCCUGGUAGUNCACGCCCUAAAUGAUGUCAAUUAGCUGUUGGGGCACUUGAUGCCUUAGUAGCGAAGCUAACGCGUGAAAUUGACCGCCUGGGGAGUACGGUCGCAAGAUUAAAACUCAAAGGAAUUGACGGGGACCCGCACAAGCGGUGGAUGAUGUGGAUUAAUUCGAUGCAACGCGAAGAACCUUACCUGGUCUUGACAUGUACGGAAUCUUCCAGAGACGGAAGAGUGCCUUCGGGAGCCGUAACACAGGUGCUGCAUGGCUGUCGUCAGCUCGUGUCGUGAGAUGUUGGGUUAAGUCCCGCAACGAGCGCAACCCUUGUCAUUAGCUGCCACCAUUCAGUUGGGCACUCUAAUGAGACUGCCGGUGACAAACCGGAGGAAGGUGGGGAUGACGUCAAGUCCUCAUGGCCCUUAUGACCAGGGCUUCACACGUCAUACAAUGGUCGGUACAGAGGGUAGCCAAGCCGCGAGGUGGAGCCAAUCUCAGAAAACCGAUCGUAGUCCGGAUUGCACUCUGCAACUCGAGUGCAUGAAGUCGGAAUCGCUAGUAAUCGCAGGUCAGCAUACUGCGGUGAAUACGUUCCCGGGUCUUGUACACACCGCCCGUCACACCAUGGGAGUGGGGGAUACCAGA